rnacentral:rRNA from 1 species
GACGAACGCUGGCGGCGUGCUUAACACAUGCAAGUCGAACGCUGAAGCUUGGUGCUUGCACUGGGUGGAUGAGUGGCGAACGGGUGAGUAAUACGUGAGUAACCUGCCCUUGACUCUGGGAUAAGCCUGGGAAACUGGGUCUAAUACUGGAUACGACAUGUCACCGCAUGGUGGUGUGUGGAAAGGGUUUUACUGGUUUUGGAUGGGCUCACGGCCUAUCAGCUUGUUGGUGGGGUAAUGGCUCACCAAGGCGACGACGGGUAGCCGGCCUGAGAGGGUGACCGGCCACACUGGGACUGAGACACGGCCCAGACUCCUACGGGAGGCAGCAGUGGGGAAUAUUGCACAAUGGGCGGAAGCCUGAUGCAGCGACGCCGCGUGAGGGAUGACGGCCUUCGGGUUGUAAACCUCUUUCAGCGCGGAAGAAGCGAAAGUGACGGUACGUGCAGAAGAAGCGCCGGCUAACUACGUG